AAAAUAUAUAAACCCAAGAGAUUGAAAAUGAAUAAAAAGUACUUGACUAUAGAAACAUUAAAAGACAAAAAAAAUACACAGACAAUGAUCCUACCAUCCAUCACUUCACAUGGAUCAUGAUCCUACCGUCCAUUACUCUUCACACGGAUCAUGAUCCCUAUUAGACACUCGCCAGAUCUCAUUUUCAAAAGCUUCCAAAACAUUUCCCCCAAAUUGUCAAAUUCCUCUCUCUGCAUUUUCAAAUUUUGAAUUCCCAAAUGAAAAGAGAGGAGAGGGAGACAGAGAGAGAACGAGAAAUAGAGAGAGAGGCGAUGGAGAAGGAGAGCCGACUACCUUAGGGUUUAUGUCACCGAAGCAGAACAAAUGACGACUAGGGUUUCACGUCUAAUCCCGACGACGGCGGUUAAGGUUGCUUCUCCGGUAGCAACAUAAGGAGGCUGAGGUGAUGAGUAGAAGUGCGGAUGAACGACUGUUAUGGUUCACUAGGGUUAAUAGCCGCACCCCAUGUGACGGAUAGAAUCAUUAAUUCCUGUUGAAAUAUCUGCUGUGGAAGUAUUGUUUAGAUCGAUUCUGUCUGCACUUUCAAAAUGUUGAUCUGUUAACUCACUUGCAAGUGUUAUGAAGAGAUGCUGGGAUGUAAAUCCGGACAAGAGGCCAGAGAUGGACGAGGUUAAUCUACUUUUUAAAAUUUUUCUUGUGUGUUGCGUAACUUGUGUUUAUGGUGGAACUGUCUCUUGAAAUAACUAUAGUGAUUAUUCAUGUAUGAAUUGAAUUUUACUGGUCUAAAAUGCUUUCUUAAAUGAGUUAAUCUUAUGAUCUGUAUAGUUUAUCUUGCUGAAUUUUAGGAGGACAUAUGGAUACCAAAGCAAUUGGAGAAAUAGGGUCUUUGGUUUUCAUAAAGCAAGGUGCUGAAGUUGUGGGCAUUACGGUUGUUGGCAGCAGCUCUGGCCAGCUUGCGAACCAUUAUGGAGACGGAACCAGGGCCCACAUGAAGGCAUUCAGGUCCCUCUUACUAGUAUAUUACUGCAAGUGAUGUCGGAAGCGCACCAACAAAGACUGCUAUAAAAAAGAUCCAGUAAUCCGCCAGCUGUCAUCACGGUGAGUGAAAAAAGUUGUGUGAUAAACGAGUUAACUAACACAGUCAAAGAAAGAGAACAACAAAUCAAGAAGAUAUCAGAUUGUGCAGCGGGUGCGUUUGUGGUUGUGAACCGGUUUUCUGAGAUUAAAGACGGUUUAAAUAAAGCGCUGAUGCAGAAAGACGCGGAGCUUGAAUCAAGGUGAAAACAUGGGCGAAGCUAUUGAACACGUUUUGCACAAGCGGAAAGCUUGAGCUCGAACUGCUUUACAAAGUUCAAGUUCAGUGUUACAAAGAUACGAAGCUAAUGAAGUUGUUCCCUGAAGUUGUGAGGUCUCUUUAUGACCAAGACGUUCUUGCUGAAGACACGAUACUUCAUUGGGUCGCUAAAGGAACCAACCCGAAAGGAAGGCAAAGCUUUGUGAAGGCAUUGGAGCCGUUUGUGAAGUGGCUGGAAGAGGCAGAAUAGAUAUUUGUCUAUCUUUUCUCUUUAAUUCUAGUUUUGUUUUGUUUGUUUUAGUAUUUAAAUUUCUAUAACUAGUACUUUUAUUUGGUUGUUUGUAAGAUUAAUGUUAUUAGUUUAAUUAAGAAUCUUAAUUUGUUCA